GCUGCGGUAGCCAAGGUGGUCACGGCGGGUCUCUGAAGAAGAUCAGAUUCUGGUUCGAUUCCAGACCGCAGCA
rnacentral:tRNA from 3 species